ncrna:unclassified sequences DTF3268 RNA
GGAAAGGGAACGCACCCAGGCUUUCGAUCCUUCGGAAGAGCUCCCGGAGGCAGACGCAUCCACGCGGGAUGCGGAAUCGUUACGGGCCUUGCGCAUUGAGCUGGUCCACAAUGGUGCUCC